GUAACUUGAAAACUGGCUGUCAAUAUGUUGUAAAACAGAAAGAUAAACAAAACCAAGAAUGAGGAGAAACAACUUUACACCCUCAAGUCUGAUGGUGGUAAACAAAUUUUUUAAGAAUGAGGAGAAACAACGUUACACCCUUAAGUCUGAUGGUGGUAAACAACGUUUUUAAGAAUGAGGAGAAACAACUUUACACCCUCAAGUCUGAUGGUGGUAAACAAAUUUUUUAAGAAUGAGGAGAAACAACGUUACACCCUUAAGUCUGAUGGUGGUAAACAACUUUUUUAAGAAUGAGGAGAAACAACUUUACACCCUUAAGUCUGAUGGUGGUAAACAAAUUUUUUAAGAAUGAGGAGAAACAACUUUACACCCUUAAGUCUGAUGGUGGUAAACAACUUUUUUAAGAAUGAGGAGAAACAACUUUACACCCUUAAGUCUGAUGGUGGUAAACAAAUUUUUUAAGAAUGAGGAGAAACAACUUUACACCCUUAAGUCUGAUGGUGGUAAACAACGUUUUUAAGAAUGAGGAGAAACAACUUUACACCCUCAAGUUUGAUGGUGGUAAACAACUUUUUUAAGAAUGAGGAGAAACAACUUUACACCCUUAAGUCUGAUGGUGGUAAACAACUUUUUUAAGAAUGAGGAGAAACAACUUUACAUCCUCAAGCCUGAUGGUGGUAAACAACUUUUUUAAGAAUGAGGAGAAACAACUUUACACCCUUAAGUCUGAUGGUGGUUAACAACUUUUUUAAUAAUGAGGAGAAACAACUUUACAUCCUCAAGGCUGAUGG